AUUGAACGCUGGCGGCAGGCCUAACACAUGCAAGUCGAAUGGUAACACGAAACGGCUUGCUGUUUCGCUGACGCGUGGCGGGCGGGUGAGUGAUGUAUGGGAGACUGCCUGAUGGCGGGGGAUAACUAGUGGAAACGGUAACUAAUACAGCAUAACGUCGCAACAGCAAAGAGGAGGACCUUCGGGCACCUUGCGAUCAGAUGUGCCCAGAUGGGAUUAGCUGGUAGGUGGGGUAACGCCUCACCCAGACGACGCUCGCCGGCUGGGUUCGGAGGAGAACAGGCAAACUGGAACUGGAGAAAGGGUCCAGAUCCUUACGGGAGGCAGCAGUGGGGAAAAUUGCACAAUGGGGGAAAGCCUGAUGCAGCAAUGCGGGGGGGAUGAAGAAGCCCUUCGGGUGGUAAAGUACUUUCUGCGGGGAGAAAGGGAGUAAGGUUAAUCCCCUCGCUCAUUGAGGUUACCCGCAGAAGAAGCACCGGCUAACUCCUU
rnacentral:rRNA from 1 species